rnacentral:rRNA from 1 species
GACGAACGCUGGCGGCGUGCCUAAUAUAUGCAAGUCGAACGAAGCUGUUUUAACUGGUGCUUGCACCGACUUAAACAACUGAGUGGCGACCGGGUGAGUAACACGUGGGUAACCUGCCCCAAAGCGGGGGAUAACAUUUGGAAACAGAUGCUAAUACCGCAUAACCACAGAAACCACAUGGUUUCUGUGUCAAAGAUGGUUUCGGCUAUCACUUUGGGAUGGACCCGCGGCGUAUUAGCUAGUUGGUAAGGUAAUGGCUUACCAAGGCAAUGAUACGUAGCCGAACUGAGAGGUUGAUCGGCCACAUUGGGACUGAGACACGGCCCAAACUCCUACGGGAGGCAGCAGUAGGGAAUCUUCCACAAUGGACGAAAGUCUGAUGGAGCAGCGCCGCGUGAGUGAAGAAGGUUUUCGGAUCGUAAAACUCUGUUGUCAGAGAAGAACGUGUGCGAGAGUAACUGCUCGUGCAGUGACGGUAUCUGGCCAGAAAGCCACGGCUAACUACGUGCCAGCCGCCGCGGUAA